rnacentral:rRNA from 1 species
AUCGAACGCUAGCGGGAUGCUUUACACAUGCAAGUCGAACGAGUGGCGGACGGGUGAGUAAAAUAUCGGAACGUGCCCAGUAGCGGGGGAUAACUACUCGAAAGCGUGGCUACUACCGCCUACUAUUGGAGCGGCCGAUAUCGGAUGAGCUAGUGGGUGGGGUAAAGGCUCACCAAGGCAACGAUCCGUAGCUGGUUUGAGAGGACGACCGGCCAAACUGGGACUGGGAAACGGCCCAGACCCCUACGGAGGGCGGCGUGGGGGAUUUUUGGACAAUGGGGGAAACCUUGCUCCGGCCAGCCCGCGUGUGUGAGAAGGCCUUGGGGUUGAAAAGUACGUUUGGCGGAAAAGCGGUAUCUGCAGAAUAAGCACCGGCUAACUACGUGCCAGCAGCCGCGGUAAUUC